rnacentral:rRNA from 1 species
UACGGAGGGGGCUAGCGUUGUUCGGAAUUACUGGGCGUAAAGCGCGUGUAGGCGGUCUCGCAAGUCGGAUGUGAAAGCCCAGGGCUCAACCCUGGAAGUGCAUCCGAAACUGGCAGCUAGAGUACUAAAGAGGGUCGCGGAAUUCCCGGUGUAGAGGUGAAAUUCGUAGAUAUCGGGAGGAACACCGGUGGCGAAGGCGGCGACCUGGGUAGAUACUGACGCUGAGGUGCGAAAGCGUGGGGAGCAAACAGGG